rnacentral:rRNA from 1 species
UCGGGAAUAUUGCGCAAUGGAGGAAACUCUGACGCAGUGACGCCGCGUGCAGGAAGAAGGUUUUCGGAUUGUAAACUGCUUUAGACAGGGAAGAAAAAAGACAGUACCUGUAGAAUAAGCUCCGGCUAACUACGUGCCAGCAGCCGCGGUAAUACGUAGGGAGCAAGCGUUAUCCGGAUUUAUUGGGUGUAAAGGGUGCGUAGACGGAGAGGCAAGUUAGUUGUGAAAUCCCUCGGCUUAACUGAGGAACUGCAACUAAAACUACUUCCCUUGAGUACUGGAGAGGAAAGUGGAAUUCCUAGUGUAGCGGUGAAAUGCGUAGAUAUUAGGAGGAACACCAGUGGCGAAGGCGACUUUCUGGACAGCAACUGACGUUGAGGCACGAAAGUGUGGGGAGCAAACAGGAUUAGAUACCCUGGUAGU